GACGAACGCUGGCGGCGUGCUUAACACAUGCAAGUCGAACGAAAAGGCCCUGCUUUUGUGGGGUGCUCGAGUGGCGAACGGGUGAGUAACACGUGAGUAACCUGCCCUUGACUUUGGGAUAACUUCAGGAAACUGGGGCUAAUACCGGAUAGGAGCUCCUGCUGCAUGGUGGGGGUUGGAAAGUUUCGGCGGUUGGGGAUGGACUCGCGGCUUAUCAGCUUGUUGGUGGGGUAGUGGCUUACCAAGGCUUUGACGGGUAGCCGGCCUGAGAGGGUGACCGGCCACAUUGGGACUGAGAUACGGCCCAGACUCCUACGGGAGGCAGCAGUGGGGAAUAUUGCACAAUGGGCGGAAGCCUGAUGCAGCAACGCCGCGUGCGGGAUGACGGCCUUCGGGUUGUAAACCGCUUUCGCCUGUGACGAAGCGUGAGUGACGGUAAUGGGUAAAGAAGCACCGGCUAACUACGUGC
rnacentral:rRNA from 1 species